GUCCUGCUCCUCGUGUUCACUGUUGGCCUUCAUGUCUUUGUUCAUAAGGCACGCGGUGAAUGCCAAGAGAGGAUUU
rnacentral:pre_miRNA from 1 species